AGCAUAGGAAGGAGAUGGACGUGCUGGAGCGAGUCCAGAGGAGAGCCGUGAAGCUGGUCACACGGCCGGAGCCCCUCUCCCGCAGGCACAGGCUGAGAGUUUAGCCUGGAGAAGAGGUGGCUCCGGGGAGGCUUUAUUUGAGCCCAUGGGUCAUCUAUUAAUUGUUUCCGUGUUCAACUCUCUUGUUAAUGGACUACGUAUGGGAAGAAAAACUGUAACGUCACCACUUACUUGUGUCUAGCAACCAUGCCUCAGCUGUUCUGUAAACCAAAAAGGCUGCCCAAUCACUUUGAGGCAGACUUCAUCUCUCAUUGCAGUGGACAAGACUGAAGAAACUUGAUUGCAGCACUUAAACAUUAAGGAAUUUUACAACCGUGAAAUGAAGGAAAAUUUGUGAAGAUCUUAACAGUCAAGAAGAGUACCAGUCAAGAGUACUUCAAAUUGUCGAGACUCGGUAAUAUAGUCAUCUUUUGAGGGAAGAGCUCUGUCCUGACUGUGCCAGUGGAUUUUUCACCUUCAGUAAGGCAGUAGAGUGAGUUAAGAUAAGGAAGCUGCAAUUAACUUGUUAGAAGACAUCACUCUAGAUUUGUUUCAGAAAACAGAAUCAGUCCCAAAUACGUCUUUUGAUAGUAAGUGGCACUUCAGAGCUGAUGGUUGCAGUCAAGUACAGAAGAACAUAAACAAAGAAUCCCAUAAUCCUUGUACUAUCAGCUAAGGGGGAGCUGCAUUCAGCCCAGGGAGUCAGAGUCAGGAGAAGACAACCUGCAGCAGCUCCUUGUGCAAAGCUGAAUCCCAGGAAAAUAAAGCUGAAGUGCUUUCAGUUCAUCACAGUCCAGUGUGGUCAUGGUGCAUUUCAGGGCUGCAUUUCAGUCCAAACGGGAGCCAGGGACUUUGGGCCAGAGGCUGAGGCAUGCAGAUGGCACAGUACAACUGCUGAUGGUGAGCUGGUUCUCUGCAGCCUCAUUCAAACUCCAAGAGAUGUGUCUGCGGUUCUUGAAGAGACAAGUGGGGCCACCUCCUGUGGGACACAGCUUGAGGAGGUUCAGCAAAUACCUUCCUGACUGAGUGUUCGUGGGUAAAAAUACUGAGCUCUUUGUAUUUAUUUGUUUCUAUGGCCCUCCUCCACCCUAAACCUACUCCUUUCCUUGGAAAAGUAUGUUGGGGUUUUCUUGAUAUCUCCAAAUUACUGGCGGUGGGGAAGAACUGCUUGCCAAGAGAGAUUAUGGAGAAUUUAGUGUUUUUAGUGGAGAUGAAAUAAGAACCAGAUUGAGGGCCACAAGCAGAGUUGUGUUGCUGUCUGUACAGCAUUCAGGUAAUUUUCUUAACAUUUAGAUAUCUGGAUUCUGCUGCUAUCAUUUUAUGAGGACAUUUUUUUGCUGCUAGUGUUUGCACCAGUUUGUAUCUGUUUACUUCAGUUCCCCCAAAACUUUCUGUACCUAUUUAAUCUUUUCUGCUAAGUCCAUCACACUCAGUCCCAUAAACCAGCCCAAAUUAACCCAAGUAAUGUGGAGUAUUUUAGUUUUAUUUUUCUUUUCCCCAUUUCCCCAUUCCCCCAUUCAGAUUGUAUAUAUAUAUAUUUUGGCCAUAAGUAACCCUUAAUUAAUGAAAUAAUCCAGAGACAGCUGUAGCAGAGCCAUGUAGAUUGUAGAUAAGGAACUGUUUUCUCUCUACUUUGUGAUUAGCUGCCAGAGUUCAUUACUUGAAUUUUAUGUUCCCCCUCUAUCAUAUUACACUGCAAAUUCAUGGCUAGUGAAAUGUCCAGUUCCUCCAAAGUACAUACUUCUAUUACUGCUUCCCUGGUUGAAUGCCUGUGUUUCUCAUUAAUUUUCCUGAAAUAUUCUGGCUUGCAAUUUUUUAAGAUUAACUUGAUUUUUGGUAAGACCCUCAGUCUGCAUAUUUCUGUUUUCUCUUCAGUCACGUAUUAUUUUUUUUCUUCUCUACUAGAGCCUCAUCUGCUUUAUCAGAAACAUACAGUCUCUGGGUAUUAGGGUUUUCAGGCUCAGCUAUUUUUACAACACCUACUGCCAUGUUCCUUUGUCUUCUUUCAUUCUCCAUCUGCCUCUUAUCUGGUCUCUCACCUUGUUUUCUUUCAGUUGACAAAUAAAUGUUGCCAGUGUAUUUUUUUCUUGUCUCCCAUUGUAAGUUCUGCUCUAACUGCAUUUUUUUUUCUGAAACACAAGGUAACCUGUCACCUAUAUGUUACAAAUAUGUAAACUCCAAAAUUCCUUUUGGAAUAAAUGGGAGCAGCCUGUUUGAUAUUAGUUCAUCAGAAUCUGGUUUUAAAAACAUCCUGAAAGAAAAAAAAAGGCUGUCAAAACAAGAAAAAAAAAUUUAACAAAUAACCUUUUCUUUGAAGGGAUUUGCCUUCUGGCUUGGUAGAGUGUAAGUUAGAUAUUGCUCUGAUAAUUACUUUCCUUUAAAAACUGUAUUUUAUUCUAUUUCACUUAAUCUUUAAAAUAGUUUGUUCCAUCCUUUAACCACUGAUAUAAAGUUUGGUCAUAAAGACUUGUGACAAGAAGACAUAUUGCAAAAGAAAUCCUACAGGCAAGCUGUUAAAUAUAGAAAUCAGUAGACCUAUUAGCAUUAACUUACAGAAAAAGAAAAAACCCACCUUUUAGUAAAAUGUUCCAAAAUGUUCUGACCUUUCUAAAAUAAAAUUCUGUUUAAACUUUAAAGUUUAGUACCAGAAUCUCUGUCCUAGUCCACAGUAACUAUGAAAUAGGAGUUUGUAACCUCUGAGAGCUGACGCAGCUUUUAUAUAUUUUUUCUUCUACUGCUCUAUGUUUGUAACAUUCAUUUCAAUAACUCCUUUCUUUUUUUUUCAUGAGAAAUGAAUAUGUAAUGAAACCUAUUGAAGGA